UGAUGAGCACUUGCUGUAGACUAGGGGACCCUGGGAAGAAAAUCUUGACUAUUCUGAUCUAUGUCUUUCCCUCUUUGGGGUAGGAGUUUUACUUAGGGUCUGUAAAAAUUAACGGAUGGCUAGAAAGAGGAGAGCAGCCACACUGCGCACAGCUGUAGGUCCCUGACUCCUCUCGACCUGACUGAAGCAAUGCGUGGGAUGCUGGGGUGGAGCUCACUCUCACACUCAAGCGCAGAAGGCAUCAGCUCCCGAACAGUUUCCAACCCCAUCUGGGCCUCAGUGGGAACCCAAAUCUAGCAGUGUUUGGGGCACUUUGCUAAGUCAUCCUCCUGUGGAGCCGAGAGGCUCUCGGGUGCCCUGAGCAAAGGUACUGUGGGCUUCGGACAGCGGAGCACUGCCUGGAGAUCUGCCUUCGCUCUGACUCCUGGAUCGUGUCCAGAUGCUUGGAUACUCCUGUCCCACUGGGUACAGGUACUCCAUCUGGGGACUGAGCCCUUUGACGAGACACUUCAAAUCCAAACCAGAACAGGCUGAAUUGACAACAUGGCUGCUAUCACCGUUGCUUCUAACGACACACCUGUGUCCUGACUCAUUUUCACCAUGUUGGCCCAAGAUCUGAACUUGCAUGGGCGGGUCUCCAUGGAAGCAGUCACGAUUCCCAUUGGUUGCAAGCCUGAAG
rnacentral:lncRNA from 1 species